UGAACUCACUCUGUUUGGUCUCUGAGACCUUCUUUUAUUACAGAAGUCCGGCAGGAUGGGUCAGGUUGGAAUCCAUCAUAAUGAAACCCUAAGAUAUCCCAUCAGUACCUACUAAGUCAUAAUCAAAUUGUCUGGAUAUUUUAUGCCAGAGGAUGAGGACAGAACGGGGAGAGGUGCCAGGAAUUAUGACCCCCUUUCAUAGCUCUGGCAACUGCAAUAAAUCUUUUUCUAUAGUUAGACAAUGGAUUUUACUCUGAAGAUGAAGAAAAGCAACACCAACACCAACACAAUCUGUCCACCACUGAGAUGAGCGGCUGCAGGAUUCUGGUUUCUGUCAAAGUUGGACAGAGAAAUGAAUCAGGAGGUGGAUUGGAAAUCUGGAAGGCCGGGGUGCUGUUGAACACCCGCAGGAGGGGAAGCUGUCUUCUUGGGCCUCUGCGUGCCCAGUGAGCAUCCUGAAGAUCAAGGAAACAUUCAGCCCAGCUUCCUGGAGCAGCAAUUGGAAGCUGAAGGAAAAGGCCUGUUUGUGCUGUAAGUAGGGGAAGGGGAGGGCAAUUCCCAAAUCAAGGCCAUGCAACAUUAGUUCAAACCAAAACACGGAACAGUUCCCACCUGGCAAAGCAGUUAGAAUCAAACACUCGUACACAUAGCAGAGAGAGAGAGGGGAGGCUAGAGGAAAAAUAGGCCAAGUAAUACGUGUGAAAGGGGAUUGAAGCCAGUAAUGACUCAAAAACGGCUGAGCUGCCGAACCUAUUUAAAAAUCCUCUUAAAAACAGAAGCAAAGAAGAAAAGGAACAUGGACAGGAGUGGCACAGUGAUGACCUUGAAGAAUAAUUAAACCAAAACCAAGUGAGGGGCUAUUUUGCAGCUCAGAGCAUAGAGAAAUCAGGGUGGGAUGGCAGGAUUCUGAAGGCAUUAAGGGAGCUUGUGCUCUCUAAGCUAAUUAGUUCGCACACUUACAGUUAUUUUGGGGAAACGUAAUAGGGAUCUAAGGAUGCUAAGAAGAGAAGGGAAUAUAAAAAGUGGCUUCAAUCUGAAACCAAGACAGAAGCCUUAUGGAAAUGCAGUUCAAUACAGCUGAUGUCAACAUGCAACGGGGGAUGUGAAGGAGGGACCCCAGCAUCCAGAGGGUAAUGGGAUCGUUGGCAAGAACUGUGAUUGAUUUUUUUCAAGAACAAAGCAGGCCCAACAAUUGAUUUUUUCUUGUGCACAGGAAUUGGCCGAAUUUUAAAAGAUAGCAUAAAUCUUUGAACUUUACUCACAGGUUUGGCACCAAGGUUCACAUCAUUUAUUUCGAAGCUGGGGUAGCUUGGCUGUGUGGGCCCUUGUCACAUGGAUGAGUGGCCAGAGGACCAAAGCAAAGGAGGAGGCAGACAGCAGUUUAUCCAGCUCCUUGUUGGUGGGGAGCAAAUCAUUCAGGUUAAUGAAACCUUCAGGUGAUUCUCAAAUG
rnacentral:lncRNA from 1 species